AUGCGUAUACGCACGAAUCAUUCUAUAAAUAGAUAGAUAGACACAGAUAGAUAGAUUGAUAUUUAGAUAGACAGAGAGAUAGAUAAAUAGAUAGAUAUGUAAAUUGAGUUGCAUCGGAAGGAUUUUUGCAUUUUUUUUUCUUUCUUUCUUUUCCUUA
rnacentral:ribozyme from 1 species